rnacentral:tRNA from 1 species
GACAUAACGUGUAGCUCAGCGGUAGAGCGGCCUCGCAAAAGGCGCGUCGGCGGUUCAAAUCCGCUAACGAUGCCG